rnacentral:sRNA from 1 species
AACCAAGCAGAUAUAUUUAGAAAUACUCCGUGAAAGCUUGCUUUCUAAGGUGUAUUUCUAAAUAUAUCUAUUUGGCGAGAGCCAAACAGUGAGAAAACCGUAGAUUUUCGAGCUUGGUU